rnacentral:rRNA from 1 species
CGAAGGCAGGCGGAUCUCUUAAAGCUGUUCUCAGUUCGGACUGCAGUCUGCAACUCGACUGCACGAAGCUGGAAUCGCUAGUAAUCGCGGAUCAGCACGCCGCGGUGAAUACGUUCCCGGGCCUUGUACACACCGCCCGUCAAACCAUGAGAGUUGGCAACACCCGAAGUCGGUAGUCUAACCGCAAGGAGGACGCCGCCGAAGGUGGGGUUGGUGAUUGGGGUGAAGUCGUAACAAGGUAUC